rnacentral:lncRNA from 1 species
CAAAUCAUAAUUAACAUUUAAAUUUCCAUAGUCUCAUAUAUCCACGAUAUUUCCAUCGAAAUUUUCUCGAAGUCCGAUAUUUUACUCCUUGAUCAAGAGAACUCCCUCAUGAAUUCAUAACCGGUACUACAUCAGCCAAUCCAUGCAUACUGAUUGAUAGUAUGUGAUGGGCUAAUGGCAUGGUCAGCUUACUGAAGCUCUUAAUCUUUGUAUAUAGUAUGGUUCAAUCUCUCACUCCAUACCCAUCAUAGGGAAAUCAACAGAAAAUUAAGCAGAAGAAAACACAAUUAAGAAAGCUGGUAACAUGAUAUUUAAAGUAGCAACCCACAAAACAAAUCACAAAUCCUAGCUAAGCUAGGAGAUGUGGAUUUGCAGAUCACAGCACCAAAUCUUAUUUUACACGAUAAUAAGCUAGUCUCUAACCCAACUAGAGAAUUCAUCUUCAACAAUAUUUUCUUAUUUAUAUAGACCACAUGAGGUGCAGCUCACUGCCAAGCUUCUUUCACUUGUGGCAGCCGCAUGAGGUGCAGCUGCAGUUGCUGCCGCACUUGCAGCCAUUUUCAGCACCAAAGCUCAUCUCUGACUCCUCAAAGUACCUGCCAGUGCAACAUAAUUUUAGCCACCAAACUAAAGUUUAAUCUGUCUUGUCAUGAAAUAGAAACACCAAUCAAUCAUUUAUUAUGGUUUUUUCACGUCAAUACAAAAUGAUGUUGCAGACACAUGCUUAUAUUAACACAAAAGUGAUUCAUCUGCAUGGAAGUUGAGGGGAAAAAACUUACAUGGUGGUUGAUGGAACCCCAGAGAUGAUAGUUGCUGUUGUGCUGCUCUCAAGAUCUGGGUAGUUUCCACAGCUGCAUGUACAAUACAUAAUUUGAGACUAAGCUACAAAAAAAGUAUUUUGUAGAAAUUAUAGCAAUUGAUCAAGAUUAUCAGAGAAAGUUAGGAGAAUAAGGAGAUUACUUGCAGCUAGAGCCGCAUUUGCAGUCAGAGCCACAUUUGCAGCUUGUUGAUCCACACCCAGACAUAUUUCCAAAGGUUUUUUAGGAAUGAAGAAAAGAUAUUAAUUCUGGAAAUUGUAUUCAAAGUCUGGGAUGAGUUCUCUAUCAAGGCCUCAACUGCUAUUUAUAGUGCAAUGGGAGAUGCAGGUUGCAAUAUCCACCAUACACGUGGCUGAACCUAGAUAUCUUUAUAUAACUAGUAAAUUCUUUACUUGCCAUGUAACUUAUCAAUACUAGAGUCUGGAUGCUCUGACUUAUAUUUUUGUAAACUUUAGUUUUAUACCAAUUAAUUGCCUUCUCAAUAUGAAUUUUAAACCCUAAGAGCAAUGAUAGUUAGGAUAGCAUGUUGAUAUUGAGAUUCGGACUUCAGAAGC